rnacentral:rRNA from 1 species
UACGAAGGGGGCUAGCGUUGCUCGGAAUCACUGGGCGUAAAGCGCACGUAGGCGGCUUUCUAAGUCAGGGGUGAAAUCCUGGAGCUCAACUCCAGAACUGCCUUUGAUACUGGGAAGCUUGAGUCCGGAAGAGGUGAGUGGAACUGCGAGUGUAGAGGUGAAAUUCGUAGAUAUUCGCAAGAACACCAGUGGCGAAGGCGGCUCACUGGUCCGGUACUGACGCUGAUGCGCGAAAGCGUGGGUAGCAAACAGG